rnacentral:rRNA from 1 species
AGAGAGAGACAUGCGCGCAUAUCAAUAAGCGGAGGAAAAGAAACUAACAAGGAUUCCCUUAGUAACGGCGAGUGAAGCGGGAAGAGCUCAAAUUUGAAAUCUUCAAGGUUUUACCUCGACGAAUUGUAGUUUAAAGAAGUGUUUUCUGCUGAAGUUUUGGUAAAAGUUCUUUGGAAUAGGACAUCAUAGAGGGUGAGAAUCCCGUAUUUGACCAUUAUUUUCAGCUUUGUGAUACACUUUCAAAGAGUCGGAUUGUUUGGGAAUGCAGUCCAAAAUGGGUGGUAAAUUUCAUCUAAAGCUAAAUAUUGGCGAGAGACCGAUAGCGAACAAGUACCGUGAGGGAAAGAUGAAAAGAACUUUGAAAAGAGAGUUAAACAGUACGUGAAAUUGUCAAAAGGGAAGCGUUUGACACCAGUGUUGUUUUCUCGAAAAUCAAUUAAAAAUGGCUCGAUUUUGUAUUGUUGAGACCUUAAAAGCUCACUGUACAUUUUUCGUGUCUUUUUUAAUGCACUUUUCGUUUAACAAGUCAACAUCAGUUUCUUUUGUUGUAAAAGGGUCAUAGGAAGGUGGCUUUCUUUUCGGAGAAAGUGUUUAUAGCCUUUGGCCUCUGCAAUCGGAAGAGACUGAGGUCUGCAGCGUAGACUCUUCGGGGUUAGAUACAUUUGUGCUAAGUUAUAGCUUUUUAUAGACAACUUGUUGACUAUAAUUAGUCUUGUAGCUUACUCGCUUAUGCUAUUUUACCUACGCUUAGGAUGUUGAAGUCAUCGUAUCGCGC